CCUACGGGGGGCUGCAGUCGAGGAUCUUCGGCAAUGGGCGCAAGCCUGACCGAGCGACGCCGCGUGUGGGAUGAAGGCCUUCGGGUUGUAAACCACUGUCGUAGGGGAGGAAAUGCAUGGGGGUUCUCCCCCAUGUUUGACCUAUCCUAGGAGGAAGUGUGGGCUAAGUUCGUGCCAGCAGCCGCGGUAAGACGAACCACACAAACGUUAUUCGGAAUUACUGGGCUUAAAGGGUGCGUAGGCGGCGCGGUAAGUUGAGUGUGAAAUCCCUCGGCUCAACCGAGGAAUUGCGCUUGAUACUGCCGUGCUCGAGGGAGACAGAGGUGAGCGGAACUUAGGGUGGAGCGGUGAAAUGCGUUGAUAUCCUAAGGAACACCAGUGGCGAAAGCGGCUCACUGGGUCUCUUCUGACGCUGAGGCACGAAAGCUAGGGGAGCGAAC
rnacentral:rRNA from 1 species